rnacentral:rRNA from 1 species
CCUACGGGAGGCAGCAGUGAGGAAUAUUGGUCAAUGGGCGCGAGCCUGAACCAGCCAAGUCGCGUGAAGGAUGAAGGCCCUACGUGUUGUAAACUUCUUUUAUAAGGGAAUAAAGUCUGGCACGUGUGCCUUUUUGUGUGUACUUUAUGAAUAAGCAUCGGCUAACUCCGUGCCAGCAGCCGCGGUAAUACGGAGGAUCCGAGCGUUAUCCGGAUUUAUUGGGUUUAAAGGGAGCGUAGAUGGGUUGUUAAGUCAGUUGUGAAAGUCUGGGGCUCAACCGUAAAAUUGCAAUUGAAACUGGCAGUCUUGAGUACAGGUGAGGUAGGCGGAAUUCGUGGUGUAGCGGUGAAAUGCAUAGAUAUCACGAAGAACUCCGAUUGCGAAGGCAGCUUACUAAACUGACACUGACACUGAGGCACGAAAGCGUGGGUAUCGAACAGGAUUAGAUACCCUAGUAGUC